ensembl:lncRNA
AAAGCCUGUGUCAACUCACUAUUUUCUUGAUUUAGUUCAUGUGCCUCUGUUUCAGUAGCUGAAUAUGAAGAUAAAAGUGUCAAGGCUGAAGGGAAUUGGGCUUCCUGCCCUUUUAUAAAGGUAUUCUGUCUCAGUUGCAGCCUUUGCCCUGGAAUCUAAGUCAGCUGGAUUCUUAGUGAGGCUCUCAGUGCAAUAUGUAGAGGAAAUGUGUUGGAGAUUGAACUUCCCUGUCCUCUGAAGGCUUCUUUCCUGCCCAAUUGAUAGACUAGAUUGAGCUGGGGAGUAGCUGAUCUGCAGAGCUAGAUGUGCCCUGAGGUCAAAACUUUGAGAACUGGAAGCCAAGAUGGAGAGUAGUGGCUCUGACUAGGUUGCCCUCCCCUCUGCUCCUCUCCCACAACUACCUCCCUGUCAGUUGUAGUUGAGCUUGCCGCAGGUGUCCCGGCAAGGUGCUCCAUCCACACUGGAGUUUUUGCCCCAAGAUUCCAGUGACCUCUGGAGGAUCAGCACAGUAAAUGAUGCCUGCAGGGAUCCUGUAACCUUUAUUUUUCCUUUUCCUUAAACUAAGAAUUCAGCCUUCUCUGCAUCCCUUUUAAGUUGAAUUCAGCAAGAGGGUCUCCAGGCUCUGUCCUGUUGUUAGAUUUGUUUUUCUGUCCCUUCAAAGCACUUUGUUUUUGAUUGAUGUGGAAGGGUUUUCAAAGUGGUCUUGACUUUUGCUGCUUCUAAGUGGUUAUCUUGACUCCAUCCCCCUAUAAGGUUUUUGAAGGAUGAAAUUGCUUCAUUUUUGUUUUUACAUUCCCAAUAAGUAGCAGGAUACCUAGUAUAAGAGCAGGAGGUUUGGAAUGUUGAGACAGUUUCAACUGACAGAAGUGGAUCGUAGGAGUUGGGAGCAAAAGAGCCUGGGAAAGAACCAAUGGGGCCUGGGGGAGAUCCCCAGAAGAAGAGUGGCUUUUGGACCUGAGAUCUCCGGGUGGCAAUAGAUAUUGUUACCUUGCUUGAGAUCAUUCAAAAGUCAGUUCAGAGAUUAGCCCAGAGGACCAGCUGUGGAGCUUCUCAGCAAAAGAUUCAUUGUUUCUUGACAUCUUCACCAAUUUCAGAAGAGAGUUUCAGGUCCUAUUGGACCUGAGGGAGCAGUACUCAAAGGCCUUUGAUCAGGCUGUACUCCUCCAGACUUCUCCAUCAUGUUUCAGAUAUUUCUUUUUUCUAGAAGAUCAAUUCAAUCCUAGUACUGUAAGUGCCCUCUAUCUACACCAGAAGGUCUUUUUUCUGAGAGGAGAGAGCAAUUCUCAGAAUCUUCAUUUAAGAAGGGGGCAGGUAGGUGAAUUUAGAGUCAGGCCUAGAGAGGGGGGUGCUAAGUUCAAAUAUGGCCUCAGAUACUUCCUAGCUGUGUGACCCUGGGCAAGUCACUUGACCCCCAUUGCCUAGCCCUUACUGCUCUUCUGUUUUAGAACCAAUACCUUCUCUUCCUCUACUCCCAUCCUUUCAGCUUCUUUUUUAUGUUUUGACUUCCCCAUUAAAAUAUAAUGUCCUUUGUCCCCCCCCCCCUUGUAUAUGUAUUCCCUGCAAUUAGCACAG